rnacentral:rRNA from 1 species
CCUACGGGAGGCAGCAGUGGGGAAUAUUGCACAAUGGGGGAAACCCUGAUGCAGCGACGCCGCGUGAGUGAAGAAGUAUUUCGGUAUGUAAAGCUCUAUCAGCAGGGAAGAAGUGACGGUACCUGAAUAAGAAGCCCCGGCUAACUACGUGCCAGCAGCCGCGGUAAUACGUAGGGGGCAAGCGUUAUCCGGAUUUACUGGGUGUAAAGGGAGCGUAGACGGCAAGGCAAGUCUGAAGUGAAAGCCCGGUGCUUAACGCCGGGACUGCUUUGGAAACUGUUUAGCUGGAGUGCCGGAGAGGUAAGCGGAAUUCCUAGUGUAGCGGUGAAAUGCGUAGAUAUUAGGAAGAACAUUAGUGGCGAAGGCGGCUUACUGGACGGUA